rnacentral:tRNA from 1 species
GGGACACCUAUAGGUGUUGACAACUAUCCCUGACACGGAAGAGGUCACUGGUUCAAUCCCAGUACCGCCCACCA